ACACCGGCAGCUCUAGUGGUAGCAGUUUUUAUUGGGCCUAAAGCGUCCGUAGCCGGUUUAAUAAGUCUCUGGUGAAAUCCUGUAGCUUAACUGUGGGAAUUGCUGGAGAUACUAUUAGACUUGAGACCGGGAGAGGUUAGAGGUACUCCCAGGGUAGAGGUGAGAUUCUGUAAUCCUGGGAGGACCGCCUGUUGCGAAGGCGUCUAACUGGAACGGUUCUGACGGUGAGGGACGAAAGUUAGGGGCGCGAACCGGAUUAGAUACCCGGGUAGUCCUAACUGUAAACGAUGCGGACUUGGUGUUGGGGUGGCUUUGAGCUGCUCCAGUGCCGAAGGGAAGCUGUUAAGUCCGCCGCCUGGGAAGUACGGUCGCAAGACUGAAACUCAAAUGAAUUGGCGGGG
rnacentral:rRNA from 1 species